rnacentral:rRNA from 1 species
AACGCUGGCGGCGUGCCUAACACAUGCAAGUCGAACGGAAAUAUCAAUGAAGCUUGCGAUUUGAUAUUUUAGUGGCGGACGGGUGAGUAACGCGUGGGUAAUCUGCCCAUAAGUGGGGAACAACAGUUGGAAACGACUGCUAAUACCGCAUACGCUACCGCAAGGUAGGAAAGGUGGCCUCUGAAUAUGCUGCCGCUUAUGGAUGAGCCCGCGUCUGAUUAGCUAGUUGGUGGGGUAAAGGCCUACCAAGGCGACGAUCAGUAGCCGGCCUGAGAGGGUGAACGGCCACACUGGGACUGAGACACGGCCCAGACUCCUACGGGAGGCAGCAGUGGGGAAUAUUGCGCAAUGGGGGAAACCCUGACGCAGCGACGCCGCGUGAGCGAUGAAGGCCUUAGGGUUGUAAAGCUCUGUUUUAAGGGACGAAUGUUACGGGGAGUAAUAUGCCCUGUAAAUGACGGUACCUUAAGAGGAAGCCCCGGCUAACUACGUGCCAGCAGCCGCGGUAAG